rnacentral:rRNA from 1 species
UACGGAGGGUGCGAGCGUUAUCCGGAAUUAUUGGGUUUAAAGGGUCUGUAGGCGGCUUUAUAAGUCAGUGGUCAAAGGCAUCGGCUUAACCGGUGUACGCCAUCGAAACUGUAGAGCUUGAAUUACUUUGGCGCAAGGGGAAUGUGUGGUGUAGCGGUGAAAUGCAUAGAUAUCACACAGAACACCGAUAGCGAAGGCACCUUGCGAGGAGCUAAUUGACGCUGAUAGACGAAAGCGUGGGUAGCGAACAGG